GACCUCGGAUCAGGUAGGAAUACCCGCUGAACUUAAGCAUAUCAAUAAGCGGAGGAAAAGAAACCAACAGGGAUUGCCCUAGU
rnacentral:rRNA from 1 species